rnacentral:rRNA from 1 species
AAUAUUGCGCAAUGGAGGGAACACUGACGCACCGACGCCGCGUGAGCGAUGAAGGUCUUCGGAUCGUAUAGCUCUCUCCUUGGGGAAGUAGGUCUUCGGACUUGACGGUCCCUACCGAUGAAGCCCCGGCCACCUCCUUGCCAGCAGCCGCGGUAAUACGUAGGGGGCAAGCGUUGUCCGGAAUUAUUGGGCGUAAAGGGGGCGUAGGCGGCCUUUUAAGUCAGAUGUGAAAGCACACGGCUUAACCGUGGGACUGCAUUUGAAACUGGAGGGCUUGAGUAUCGGAGAGGGUAGUGGAAUUCCCAGUGUAGCGGUGGAAUGCGUAGAUAUUGGGAGGAACACCAGUGGCGAAGGCGACUACCUGGACGAAAACUGACGCUGAGGCACGAAAGCUAGGGGAGCAAACA